UUUCCGUAGGUGAACCUGCGGAAGGAUCAUUACCUGGCCUUGGGUCACUCCUGCAUGGCGGUCACGCCUUCGUGGGUGCUUAGCCCUUGACUAUCACCUUGACUAUGCGUACCUUUGUUGUUUCCUCGGCAGGCUUCCUGCCGAUGGAACCCUUUACAACCCUUUUGCAGUAGCAUCAAACUGAAACAAACCACAAUUAUUUACAACUAUCAACAAUGGAUCUCUUGUUUCUGGCAUCGAUGAAGAACGCAGC
rnacentral:misc_RNA from 1 species